AGAUGAAAAAGAGGAAGAUUCUGCCAUCUCAUCCGAUAUGUAAUUCAGCGAAUUGAACUUGAGAAGUGCGAGAGAUUUCAGAGAAGGGAGAUGAUCCAACGGUGGUAGAUGCUUACAUUUUGGACAUUUUGACAUCUCAAUAUCGACAAGUUUUGUGAUUGAAGAAAGCCAAUUUGAAAACCUCACACCUCCGUAGCUGCCUCUAUGGUACCCAUUAACAUACAAUUGUUUCAAGUUAGGGUGAGGGUGUAGGUUAUCCAACAACAACUCACUAUUUCCACAAUCACUAUCUCCCGUGUCAUCCCAUUCCAAAUUCAAGGAGUGAAGGUUUUUCUUUUCCAUGAGAUUUGGUUGGUUGGACUCCAACGCAGGGCUUUUGACAUUUCCUAGUGCUUCAAUGGAAAUUCCACCACUAAGCUGGUUUAAGCUAUUCAAUUCGUUCAAUGUGGAACGUCUCCUUCCUCGAUCCCUUCCCACAAUAAAAGUAGACAACCUUUGCAGACUUGUUAAUCUCCCUAAUCCCAAUGGCAUGUAUUUAAGAUCAAAACAUCCAUCAAUUAUAAGUUGCCUAAGACAAAUUAAUUUUCUUACGUCUUUGGGUAAUUCUUUGAGAGAAUGACAAUUUCUGAGCAUUAGAGAUUGUAGAUUAUACAAACUACAAAUACUUUUGGGAAGUGAUUCGACAUUAUAAUUUUCUGAGAUGUCAAGAUACCUCAAGCGCUUCAACUUUCCAAUUGAAUCU
rnacentral:misc_RNA from 1 species